AUAAAAAUCUGAUUACACAAAGUUCAGCGAGAACAUACACAACAGAUAGAAUCAAUAAUAACAUUCAAGUAAGUUGCAAAUCAAGCAGGAGAAAUGCAGUUCCCAGAAAGAGGUUAAAUAAGUACACAUGGCAAUGCCCCCUUCUUGAAAAUCAUCCCGAUGCAACAAACACGAGAACAAAAACUAAAACACAUGUAUAAAGAAAAAUAACAAACAGAAAGAAACAAUGUCCCAGAGUUAGUUAUCGCUCGUCGAAAGGCUUGUCAAUACUGAGGCUGGGCAGGCAUGUCCAAUCAUGUUUUUCACUAUGAAUUGAGAUUUCUAGGCUGCUUGCAAAUGUUGCUGCAUCUUUUCUCUAGUCACAGGAUUCCAUGCAUGAUCAUACAAACUCUAAAUGUGUAACCAUACAUUGUUUGCUCUUGUGCUCUGUCCACGGAUUUGUAUGAAGCCUAUAACGCCUGUUUGCUCUUGUGCUCUGUCCAUGGAUUUGUAUGAAGCCUAUAACGUCUGUUUGCGGUAUUCUGGACUGUGUGUACAGUACUUACAUGAGGUGCACUGUCGUCCAUUCACCAUUGAAGACAAGCCAAAUUUUGAAACCUUGCUGUGCAUGUUAUUUACAUUUGUAGCCUGUGGCACUUGCAAAAUGUAGUACACUGUAAAUUGUGGGCAUGUACAGUGAUUGUAAUGCAUUGAAAUGUUCAAUAGAUCUGGAAGCCUUUGUGGGAUGCAACAAAGGGCAUCUCUCCAUGCUACAAUUAUUGCAACAUUUACUUUACAUAUGACGCAUGUAAAGUAAUUGGGGGCUUUUUAUUGCUUUCCAGUGUGUUUGUUUUCUGUUAACAUUCUGCAAACACUCCAGUGAAAAAAUGGGGUUUACGGUAUCGUAGCAACCAAGUUCACUUUGUUGUGUUGGCCGCUGAAUGAAAGCCUCUUGGAUCAUGCUACAUAGCGAGUUCUUGUGUACAUUUUGAUUUGAGUGCACUGUGUCCUUGUGUCACAAAUUUCUAUGAUUGACUUUCUAUGAUUGAUUUCUAUGAAAUGUGUACAUGAAUCAUGUAUGAAUGGCUGGUGGACUUAUGAUUGUUUUGUGAGCAGAUGUACUCAAAUUAUGUUGCAUGUGUGGAUCUUUUUUAAACAUUGUAAUGAUGCCACA
rnacentral:lncRNA from 1 species